CAGAUCUCUCUCCAGUCUGCGUCUUCUAAGUAUUUGGUCUCUAAAACUACGGUGCCAGCAGUGUGUAAACGUGCACAGCGUGGGCGUGCACGUUUAUUUUGUACUCCCCCAGCCUUGUGGAACCACUAGACUCCCAGACUGGGUUCUGACCUGGUCUGCACCGGACCCUCCUCACAGGAAGAGGAGGAUCUUCAGAUGAAGUGGAGGAGGAAGACGAAGGUCUAAGAGCGCCCCUAGUCCUGGUCGAGACCUGGUCUUAGUCCUGGUCGAGACCUGGUCUUAGUCCAGGUCUAGACCUGGUCUUAGUCCUGUUCGAGACGUCUUGGACCAGCAGUCCUUUGAGGACGCACUGUGUGAAUCAGAACAAAACAGGACUUCUUCAACACAUGCACACACACGCAUAUAUGGUACACACGCAUGCAUGGUACACACGCACACAUAUGGCACACAAACAAACACACACACUCCGACAAACACAGCUCAAUGCAUCUCAAAUUCCUGCUGCCUGAACUGUUGUUAACCUGUCUAGUAGUCUCUCUCCCUUGCUCUCCCUCUGUGUAACUGUUCAGUGUGUUUCGUUGUGUGUCGGCCCAUCCACAUCUGUAGAGGGUUAGCAGCACAGCUUCCCUCCACGUCGGCUCAAAGGAGCUCCGCGCGACGCAGCGGAGAGAGCUGCUGUAGUCCGCUCUGUAGCCGCGCAUGGCCGCUCAUAUAUCAAUACUGUACAACGCUUCUGAUAGGCUGACCUCUCGCUGGACCCCCUCUCAGACCCCCACCGGACCCCCACCGGACCUGGACCUGGGUUAGACCCUAUCUAGACGGCACUCGGACCCGACCUAGACCUGAGUUAGACUCGAUCUAGACUGGCUCUAGAUGUGCCCCCUGGCCCGUUGACCCUCAGCUCAUCACGCUGGUGUAGACGCCGCUGAACCCGACGCCGUGAAUGAGUGACCGACAAAUGAAUGAAUGAAAUACUGAAGGGCAGCCCACCGCCGGUGGAGCCCCGUGUUCAGGGUGACCCGCUGAAUGUGGACCCAGGAAGACCCAGCUAGCUGAUGGCUAGGAAGCUGAUAGCUAGCUGAUAGGUAGCUGCCAGCUAGCUGAAGGCUAGGUAGCCGCCAGCUAGCUGACGGCUAGGUAGCCGCCGUAUGGUUAAGCUGACGGUUAGGUAGCCGCCGGCUAGCUGACGGCUAGGUAGCCGCCGGCUAGCUGAUUGCUAGGUAGCCGCCGGCUAGCUGAUGGCUAGGUAGCUGCCAGCUAGAGGGUAGCUGCCAGCUAGGGCGCUGCAAACCAGCUGAUAGCUAGAUAGCUUCCAGAUAAAGAGCUUCUAGAAAGGUACUUUCUAGUUGGACAGUUGCUUGACUGGUGGUUUCUAGCGAGCCGCUAGGUGGUUUUCUAGCUAAAUAGCUGCUGGACAGAUAGCUGCUAACAAGGCAAUGUAGCUGCUAGCUAGAUUCUAUGGUUCUAUCUUGAGGUUCUAUCUUGAUCGCUGAUGUUCUGCUAGUUCCUGGCUACGUUACCUCCAGGCAGCAGCUUUCAUCUUCUGAUAAACUGCUCAAGUGUGGCGUUAACGAGUUGACUAGCUGAGCUGGGUGGUGAUGGUUAGAAGCUAGCUAGGUAGCAGCUGCUAAUGAAGAAGCCACCAGUUCUUCUGCGAUAACUUCCUGGUUCAAACUGUUUCUUGACUCGUCUUGCUUUGCUUCGGUUCCCCAGACGUCGGUACUCCUCCAAACCGCCCCAAUCCGGUUCUGCUCACUCUGCGCACUUUUCAAAGUAAAAGUCCUGCCGUGUUCGGAUGCUGGGAGGAAUCGUACGGGAAUGGUUUCGGGGGGGAGGGCAGGGGUGCUGAGGGGAUCCCUCCCAUGUGGAGGUCAGAGGUCAGUCCGGUUCCAUUCUGCUUCUCCUCACGCCCCCCGCUGGGCUGUAGGGCAGGGGGGCUCCAUGCCUGGACUCCGCCUCCUCUCUGGUCCCCAACGGAUCAAAUGUAUUCAGCUCUUUGGUAUAAUCUUUGAGUCCAAAGGUACUUAUUCAUGUGGACAUCUCGCUACAUCGAGGCACGCCCCCAAGAGCACUUGUAUGAACCUUCAUUAACGUAUGUAGCAUUAGAUUGGUUCAAUGAGAUGUCGUGUUGAGAUGUUGUCCCGCCCCUUUCGCCCGGAGCAGCCACUCAGGCUGCUGCUGUGUGCUUCAAUAAAUACAACUGCCUUCUCAAAGGUCACGCCCCCUUCUUAGGUG
ensembl:lncRNA